GUGGGGAAUAUUGGACAAUGGGCGAAAGCCUGAUCCAGCCAUGCCGCGUGUGUGAAGAAGGUCUUCGGAUUGUAAAGCACUUUAAGUUGGGAGGAAGGGCAUUAACCUAAUACGUUAGUGUUUUGACGUUACCAACAGAAUAAGCACCGGCUAACUUCGUGCCAGCAGCCGCGGUAAUACGAAGGGUGCAAGCGUUAAUCGGAAUUACUGGGCGUAAAGCGCGCGUAGGUGGUUCAGCAAGUUGAAGGUGAAAUCCCCGGGCUCAACCUGGGAACUGCCUCCAAAACUACUGAGCUAGAGUACGGUAGAGGGUAGUGGAAUUUCCUGUGUAGCGGUGAAAUGCGUAGAUAUAGGAAGGAACACCAGUGGCGAAGGCGACUACCUGGACUGAUACUGACACUGAGGUGCGAAAGCGUGGGGAGCAAACAGGAUUAGAAACCCGUGUAGUCC
rnacentral:rRNA from 1 species